UUCGACUUCGACGAAGUUCUCGAAUGGCGUAACAGGACGGAACAUUCCAAGGCGAGUUGGAAUGCGAGCCUCCUCUAUCACGCAUACCCGCCUUUCUCUGUAACAUGCACGCACAGACAGCGGUGGGCCUCUACCGCGGGAAACUUCGCGCAUUCCACAACUUAUCGGAGUCUGGAUUAAUACCGUUCAUAUCAGGAGGAAAAGGCUACAAACCACCUCGACGCAUUCAGGGUGAUGUGCUCCGGACAUGGACGACGUUCCGUCGUUGAGUUCAGCGACGUGUGUAUGUAUCUGCGCGCCGCGAAGCAACUGUGGCUAUAUAAGCGGCGUGCAGACGUGGGCA